rnacentral:rRNA from 1 species
AUUGAACGCUGGCGGCAUGCCUUACACAUGCAAGUCGAACGGCAGCACGGGAGCAAUCCUGGUGGCGAGUGGCGAACGGGUGAGUAAUAUAUCGGAACGUGCCCAGUAGUGGGGGAUAGCCCGGCGAAAGCCGGAUUAAUACCGCAUACGACCUGUGGGUGAAAGCGGGGGAUCGCAAGACCUCGCGCUAUUGGAGCGGCCAAUAUCAGAUUAGCUAGUUGGUGGGGUAAAGGCCCACCAAGGCGACGAUCUGUAGCUGGUCUGAGAGGACGACCAGCCACACUGGGACUGAGACACGGCCCAGACUCCUACGGGAGGCAGCAGUGGGGAAUUUUGGACAAUGGGCGCAAGCCUGAUCCAGCCAUGCCGCGUGUGGGAAGAAGGGCCCUUCGGGUUGGUUAAAGG